rnacentral:lncRNA from 1 species
ACAAGUCGAAGUGUGUAACAUACUAAGCUUAAAUAAGUCUAAAAAAUUCUCAAAAAUCGAAAUAACAUAAAUAGUCUCGAAUCAACUUAGUCUUUAAUAACAACCCCUAAUAUGAUUCCUUAAAUAAUAUGUGUCACCCCUCUUUGGAUGAAUAUUAUAGACUCGAGUACAAUGCUUACCCUUUACUUUGCGAACUUCUGCGUUAUCUUCUACCACCUCAAAAAGUUCUCAAAUAUGAGAGCGUACUUUAGGAGCACUAGUUACCCUCUACUUUGCGAACUUCUGUGUUAUCUUCUACCACCUUAAAAUGUUCUCAAACAUUAGAGCCUACUUUAGGAGCACGGGACAUGAUUGAACUUGAACCUAAUAAAA